rnacentral:misc_RNA from 1 species
CAUCAUCGUCAACAUCUUUCACCGGUUUCGAUGACUUAGACUUUGACUUGGGUUUCGGAGGAUUAUACUCGCCCACUACCAGAACCUCAUCAGAAUCGGCGUUUUCUUUAUCGACGGUCUCGAGGAGUUCAGUCAACCAUUCAUGGUCAUCAUCCCCACCUCUGGGCUCAUUAAAGGCCGGCUCCUCAUCAGAGCUGAUAUUCGAAAAUCACGGGAUUCGACUCCAUGAGAAAUACAGAAAACGCCUCAGAUACCCGAGCUUUAUCAUGCGGGUUUCUAUGGAGCCUGCGCAGAAUUUGCUAAACUCCCCCAAGAAAAUCUACCUAGGGUUUGAAUUCGUUCAAAAUGAGGGAGCACAAAUAGGGGAAUAGACAAUUCUUGAGCAGAAAUUGAAGAAUUCUUUUCGUCGGGAAAUUUUCUACAAAGGCAAAAAAAAAAAACUAUGGCUUUACGGAGAUUUUGGAGGCUAGUCAAGUAAUCAUACAAGAGGGGGAAAUU